CCUACGGGAGGCUGCAGUGAGGAAUAUUGGUCAAUGGCCGAGAGGCUGAACCAGCCAAGUCGCGUGAGGGAUGACGGCCCUACGGUUUGUAAACCUCUUUUGUCGGGGAGCAAAGAGAGUCUCGUGUGGCUCAUUGAGAGUACCCGAAGAAAAAGCCUCGGCUAACCCCGUUCCAUCAGCCGGGGUAAUACGGAGGAUGCGAGCGUUAUCCGGAUUUAUGGGGUUUAAAGUGUGCGCAGGCGGAGGUGCAAGUCAGUGGUCAAAUUGCGGGGCUCAACCCCGUACUGCCGUUGACACUGCAUCCCUUGAGUGCGCGAGAAGUAUGCGGAAGGCGUGGUGUAGCGGUGAAAUGCAUAGAUAUCACGCAGAACUCCGAUUGCGAAGGCAGCAUACCGGCGCGCAACUGACGCUCAUGCACGAAAGCGUGGGUAGCGAACAGGAUUAGAGACCCCUGUAGUC
rnacentral:rRNA from 1 species